AUCAUCAGCUAAAGGGCAAACCUUUUAAUAGCUUUUUUAGGCUAUCAUGCAGAACUAAAACUGCAUAAGUGAUGAUGUGUACAUAGAAGCAUUAGGCGCUAUAUAAUGUAGUAAUUUAGUUUUUUUGACUUCUUUACUUGCAUACACAAAGAGUAAAUAAAUUUAGACAAACGUCAGUAAGGAUAGCGCACUUAUUGGCGUUU
rnacentral:ncRNA from 1 species